UGUCAGAGCAAUGCAAGAUUUGAUUGGGACUGCUUUACUUCAUUAACAAUUGCAAUGUAAUUUUCAAUGAGAAUACAUUCUAUUGCAUUAGUAGUGCUUUUAGAAGAGACAUCAACAUGUUGCCCAGGCUGGCCUUGAACUCCUGGUCUUAAGCGAUGCGCCCUCCUCAACUUCCCAAAGUGGUAAAUUGUACUUCCUGAGGGCUUAGAAAAGAGACAUAGAAGCAAGUGAAAUUGGAUCAGCCUUUCGCCAAGCCGAACACAAGGGGAUGAAAAGAAAAUCUGGACUCGAAUGUGCAGUUUCCUAUUUUAUGUUAAGGCAAUUUACAACAUAUCAUAAAGCUGCAUUAAUACACAGAUGUUCCACAGUCUGCAGAAUACAAAAUAAAUGUCUUGAACAAGCUACAAAGACCAA